UACAAAGCUUCAGAGACUUCCAGCUCGAGAGAGAGAGAGAGAGAGAGAGAGAGAGAAGGGUUUGUGUGAGAAUGGCGGAGCACUUGGCGUCGAUAUUCGGGACGGAGAAGGACAGAGUGAACUGUCCGUUCUACUUCAAGAUCGGAGCGUGCCGGCACGGUGACCGGUGCUCGAGGCUCCACACAAAGCCCUCCAUCAGCCCCACGCUUCUCCUCUCCAACAUGUACCAGCGCCCCGACAUGAUCACUCCCGGCGUCGACGCCCAGGGCAAUCCCAUCGACCCCCGCAAAAUCCAGGAACACUUCGAGGAUUUUUAUGAAGAUUUGUUUGAAGAGCUGAGCAAAUAUGGAGAGAUUGAAAGCCUUAACGUUUGUGACAACCUAGCUGACCACAUGGUGGGUAAUGUUUACGUUCAGUUUAGUGAAGAAGAGCAAGCUGCAAAUGCUUUAAAAAGUCUUAGUGGAAGAUUUUAUGCUGGUCGACCCAUCAUUGUUGACUUUUCCCCUGUGACUGAUUUUCGCGAGGCUACAUGUAGGCAAUUUGAGGAGAAUGCCUGCAAUCGUGGUGGAUAUUGCAACUUUAUGCAUCUGAAAAGAAUAAGCAGAGAGUUGAGACGCCAUUUGUUUGGGAGCUAUCACAGAAGGCAUAGCCGCAGUAGGAGCAGAAGCCGAAGUCCAUACAGACAUCGCAGUUACGAUGAGCGAUCUCAUGAAAGUCAUGGGCAUAGAAGAUAUGAUGACGGGGACUAUUACCAUGAGAGUCAUAGCAGGAGGCGCAGGACUACAAGCCCUAAAUAUAGGACAGGAAGAAGCAGGAGCCCACACGGGAGUCGUGGGCAUAGAAGGAAGAGGAGCCCGAGUAGGGAAGGAAGCGAAGAGAGACGUGCUAGAAUUGAGCAAUGGAACAAGGAAAGGGAACAUGCAGAACAAGUUAAUAAGGACAAUGUCUUGGGUUCCAACAAUAAUGACGAAAGAAAUGACGACAGAUUCAUGCCAAAUGGACAACAGUACUACAGAAACCAGCAGGCACCGCAGCAUGGAGGAUAUGGAUAUUGAACCAAUUAAUAUUUCUGUGGUCUGUUUGUAUCUCUUUAUUUGCAAUCAGGCACAUUGUGACCACCGGUCAUUUCCAGAUUCAGGCCUUCUCGCGUCAAAUGACCAAGGACUUGGAUAUUAACACAGUAUGACGAAAUUUUUGACAGGUUUUAUGCGGUGAAUGCAGAUUACAGGGGAGGGAGGAUCUGAGACUGAAAGUACUUGAGUUGGGAACUGUUAUUAAGUUUUUAUUGUAUUCAUGUUCCAUGCCAGAUUAGGAGUGGUUUUUUUAUGUUUUGUUGGACAGCUGAGAGCAUCAUGUAGCAGAGAUCAGAACUUUGAUCUGGAGAGGGAACUUCUUGUUAACUUUUGCUUGCAGGUAAUUUGGCUAGCAAUCAUGUUAUUCAAAAAACAUGUUGUUGUAUCUUUUUAGGAAUGAAUGUCUGCUUAUUUAUAGGAAAA